AUCAGAGUCGGGUAGUGGUUUGAGCGUUGGAUUAGGACUCUGGAGACCAGGGUUCGAAUCCCGGCUCUGCUA